rnacentral:rRNA from 2 species
GAUGAACGCUAGCUACAGGCUUAACACAUGCAAGUCGAGGGGUAGCAGGGUCUAGCAAUAGAUCGCUGACGACCGGCGCACGGGUGAGUAACACGUAUCCAACCUUCCGUUUACUCGGGGAUAGCCUUUCGAAAGAAAGAUUAAUACCCGAUAGUAUGUUUUUCCCGCAUGGGAGAACCAUUAAAGUUUUUCGGUAAUCGAUGGGGAUGCGUUCCAUUAGGCAGUUGGUGAGGUAACGGCUCACCAAACCUUCGAUGGAUAGGGGUUCUGAGAGGAAGGUCCCCCACAUUGGAACUGAGACACGGUCCAAACUCCUACGGGAGGCAGCAGUGAGGAAUAUUGGUCAAUGGACGAGAGUCUGAACCAGCCAAGUAGCGUGAAGGAUGACUGCCCUAUGGGUUGUAAACUUCUUUUAUAUGGGAAUAAAGGAGCCUACGUGUAGGUUUUUGUAUGUACCAUACGAAUAAGGAUCGGCUAACUCCGUG